rnacentral:lncRNA from 1 species
ACUUCAGCUAAACCCUCAACUCAGUGGAUUGGGACGGCACUGAGAAGCCCCUGAUGUGCCGCAUCUUAGGCAGAAUCCCGUGGAGACUGGUUCCAGCUGCCACAUAGGCCCUUAAGCAGAUUUUGGAUCCCAGGGUGGAGGCCACGCAGAGCCUGAAACUUCUCAGGAAGUCAUGCUGCCAAGCACCGGUGGUAGUCUCUCUGAGUCGGUCAGUUAUGCUGAUGGCAGAAUUGAGUUCAUGAGGAAAAGGAUUCCACUGCAACUUGAAGCUUGGUGAAAAGCCUCGGCUUAAGCAGGUUUUUAUGGCUAAAAUUAUCUGUCGCUGCAGGAAAGUACACUGCUGAGUGAGAAUGAAGGAUUUAUGGAAUUGUUUCAGGGUAGGGUGGCCAAUGUUUUAAAAAAUUCCUGCCCAAGAACAUUUGAGGUGUGACUUUUCAUAAAUCAUAGUUACUAAGAGUGAGCCCAGUCAUUUAUAUGUAUAAACUCAGAUAAAAAAAAUAGUAGUGGGGCGCC